AAAACUUUCAACAACGGAUCUCUUGGUUCCAGCAUCGAUGAAGAACGCAGCGAAAUGCGAUAACUAAUGCGAAUUGCAGAAUUCAGUGAAUCAUCGAGUCUUUGAACGCACAUUGCGCCCCUCGGUAUUCCGGGGGGCAUGCCUGUUCGAGCGUCAUU
rnacentral:rRNA from 3 species